rnacentral:lncRNA from 1 species
UCUGUGUAUCUGAGGCCAUACAGUUGUGUGGCCAUACAGUUAUUUUAAAGCAAGGUCUUAUUAUGUCACCAUGGCUGGCCUGGAACUCAUAAUGAUAUGCCUGCCUCUGCCUCCUAAGUGCUGGGAUUAAAGGCAUGUCCUGCCACUCGGGGCUAGCUUGUCUUAAUGGCAGGUGUUGAUGUCUAACUUGGAGCUGAAGGUAGAUGGGGGCAAACAUAUGUCUGCGGAGCUAUUGCUUUGGUUGACACUGAUGGUUUUUUUUGGGGGGGAGCUUGAUGGUUGUGGCCAUGCUUGAGGGGUGGGCACCUCUGACCAUCCUUCCAUCCUGGAUCUGUGUUUCUGUAGCCAGGGUUACUCUAUGUCUGGAAGGGGAGGGGUGUGGAGACAGUAUGUGUACCCUGCAGGCUCCCUAGCCAGCCGCACCUUCCCUAACCAUCAGGGCAGGCAGCCAGGGGAGCCCCGGGGUGCCAUUUACUCUGGCACUUUCUGUAUGUCUGUGGGAGGGGGAGAUGAGCUGAUAAGCCUUAUCUGCUAUUACCAGGGCCAUGCUGAAUAACCGUUCUAAUGAGGUGGCCUCGCUGGGACCACCAGCUCCCAGGCCCCCUUCCUAUUGGGUAGGGAUAUGGUCAGCCAGACCUGGAGCACUGAGCCAAUCCACUAGAGACCUGGUAGAGCCUGUGUCCCCAGAGACCCUUAUUUAUUUAUUUAUUUAUUUAUUUAUUUAUUUAUUUAUUUUUAGGUCUGCCUUGUUUCAUAGAGGAAGGUCCUAGGAACUGCAGCUGAGACAAUCAGUCCUCUCUUUUCCCUGGACUGGGCUGACUAGAGAGACAGGAGCCACUCAAUCUGAUCUUCUGAAGGCAGGCAGUAUGAGGCCCAGAACUUGGGAUGGAGUGAAUUGGAGUCACAGUGACAGAAAGCUCUAGAGAAAAGGGGAGAAACAAGAAGCAGGGGGUCCUGGGAACAGAUUUAUUAUUAUUUUAUUUUAUUUUUUUAGUGUAGUCACGCAAAGGGGCAGAAGUGCUGGCAGGAUGGGCCUAGGGACUGGGGUACUUAGGCUGAAAUAAACAAUUAGCAAGUGUCAGAAUGAAUCAGAGAGGUGGGCAUAAAGGCGAAGAAAGUAUCAGCCAGUGAGAGGCAUGGACAUAGGAAGAGAUGCCGGACUGGAGAGGGACUAAAGAAAACAGAUGAGUAAAGCAAGGAGCAAGGAGCAAGGAGCAAGGAGAGAAGGGCCCAGAGAGGCGUGGGCGGAGGGAAAGAAAGCAGGUCUGAGGGAAAUGUAAGGACCAAAGAUGUAGAGGCCUAGCUGGCCUGGCUGAAGGGAAGCUAGGUCCUUGGAGACCCGGCAAGGCAUGAGCUAGGGCUGGGACCCCGGACAGGGCAAGGAUCGCCUGGUGGUGGAGACGGGCAGGGGGGUCUGAGUGGGCCUGAGCCGCUGUCCCGGGUAAUUUUUCAUCUCGGCCGGCUAAUCUUUGUUCCCGGCGAAGAUAAUGAAUAGCCAAUCGUUAUCUGCCCGGCUCCCGGAGGCUGCCCGAGAAUGGGGUUGUACAGGGCUGGGAAUUGUUUCCAAAGUGCCGCGGAAUAAAUGGUGUUUCUUAUCUCUGCCUUCCAGAUUAUCGCAGCCCUUUCAGAGCGCACACAACAAAUGCGCCCGCCAUCGAAUGCAGCAUUUACCACCACAGAUCCGCGCGCCGAUGGGCAGGCUGAUAAAGUCCGCGGGGGGCUCGCCGGGGCGAGUGUGCGCCCCGGCUCUGCCUGGUGUGUUUGGAGGAACACGUGGGUAUGGCAGCGCGUGGACCCUGAGCACGCAAGGAUGUGAGUGUGCGAGUAAGUGUGCCUCGAGAAAGUUCACGUGUGCGAGACCCUGCGCACAUGCAUGGUGAGUGUUGUGGCGAGUGCCAGAGCAGAGGCCACCAAGAGGCUGGCGGGUAGGGUUGCUGCACGUGGCCUCGUGGGAAGCAUGCGGCUAAUGUGCGCCGAGUGCACGAGACAAUUUACUUUGAGGGCCUACAAGUACCUAGCCUUGGAGGAUGUUGUUUGAGGGUGCGGAACAGAGGGGUUCGAAGCCACUCCAAGUAUGUGUAGCACUUUGCAGGCUGCACUCCACAAGGUGUCUUCCUAAAGCUGCUGGAUGGAAGCGGUAGCUGACGUUUGUGCCGGGGACUCAGGCCUUUGGAACACGCACGGGUCUGUGGGACAGUGUGGACCCAGAACGACUAGGUGUGCAGAGAGAUGCGCGAAGGAUCCAGGAUCGUGGACUGUGGGGCUUGUGUGUGAGCUUGCCUUUAAACAGCAUUUUUGUAAGCCUGACUUGACAAUUGGCAGCCAAAGUCUCCAGCUGGUACCACACCCAAUGUCUGCCAGCACUAGAUGCGGAGGAUCUCAUGUAAAGAAUUUCGUUUCUUGCAUCUCGUGAAACACUUCAAGACUGGCCACUUUGUGCCUGAGUUCUUCAUGGUGAGGGAAUGCUGGAGUGCUGUGAAUACCCCUGUGAGAACCUGGAGCCGACACAUACCCCAGUCCUUAGAUCAGGAACACUGAGUACCAGUGGCUGGGUUAGUUUUGCCUUCCCCUCCAGCACUGGGGACUUCAGGCUUGUUUCUCUCUGUAGGACCAGUAAACCUCUUAGUAAUUAGUCAAUGACUUAAUGCAAUCAACAUGUAAAGGGGACACAUGGAGCCUUACUGCAAAAGUCCCCAGUGGUGCAUAUUGAACUGUGCCCAAUGCAGUGAGCUGUGUGUGCCCAAUGCAGCGAACUGUGCCCAAUGCAGUCAGGUCUGACUCAUCACGAAGAUCAGUGCAUCAUCAGAUUAUGGUAACAAUCAUUGGGGGCAUGUUUUCUAAUAUCCAGGCCUCCCUCUGAACAAUAGAAGCCGUGAAAUAAAAGGGACAUGGACAUCACCACUGUGUGCAGCAGCCCCCCCCCCCCUUAGGAUUCAUGGGCAGUAGUGGUGCAUACCUUUAAUCCCAGCACUUGGGAGAGGCAGAGGCAGAGGCAGAGGCAGAGGCAGAGGCAGAGGCAGAGGCAGAGGCAGAGGCAGAGGCAGAGAGGCAGAGGCAGAGGCAGAGGCAGAAUCUCUGAGUUCUGGGGCAGCCCUGUUUACAGAGUGAGUUCCAGAAAAACUAAAGUUAAAUAAAGAAUGAGGAGAAGGAGGAGGACGAGGACGAGGAGGAGGCCUCCUCCUCUUCCUCUCUGGGCUUACUGGCCUUGGUUGUGAGGAGUCCAUUUGCAUUUUGGAAAAUGCUCAGUCAUGUUAGAAACAGAAUCGACUUGAGCUGGCAGCAUGGGGACAUAGAGGGACCUGGAGGAUGGUAAGGUGAGUCCAGGGUUCUACUUUGCAGUCUGUCUAUCCUGACCUUUCCCAUCUGCAUUGCUGCUCCUACUGCUAUCUUCUCCUGCUCAGAUUACCAUAGCAACAUUCUCUCAGGACAUCAAAACCAGGGUCCUAUGCGAACCUCCUCUCCUUCCCUGCUAGAAGAAGCCCCAAAAGCUUGUUCUUUGUUACCCAUCAGGCUGCUGAGCUGUCCUCCUGGCUCCCUCCUACAGCUCCGCCCUCUCCCCAGGUGUUACCUCCCCAGGCCAUUUCUAGCUUAGCUGGGAGGGGAGGGUGUAGCAGGGAUCUGGAGGGUCCUAGGAAUUGCAAUAUUCCAGGUGGGCCACUUCACAGAGCAGUGGCUGGGAUUCCCCAAGGCACAGGCAACUUGCAGCUGGUGACCAGAACAGAGAAAGACCUAAGAUGAAGACAAACAAACAUCCAAGGCCUAGUGUAGGACCAGAGGCCAGCUGUGGAGACUGGGAUGCACGACUGGAUGUUAUGGGCACACAGGUGUUCCUUCUCAGACCCCAUAUCCACUCAGUACAGAGCACCUGUCUCCAGAGCCUGGCCAAUCAGAGCUUCCUGGAGUAAGAUGCAUUGGCUUAGAGUAGGUAUGUCAUUUAGAUCUAGGAGAAACACUUCUGGACACUCAUCUAUCCCUCAGCCCAGGAUUCAUCUUCCUGGUCAGACAAAACCUAGAGCUGCUGGUGCCAUCUUCGUGCCACACAAAACCUGCUGAGAGCAGAAAUCACUGGGGCUCAGAGCUGAGAGAGACAGAGAGAAUCCUACUGUGCUAUCUAUUUUGUUUGUUUUGUUUUGUUUUGUUUUGUUUUGUUUUGAGACAGGGUCUCUCUGUAUAGCCCUGGUUAUCCUGGAAAUCACUCUGAAGACCAAGCUGGUCUCAAACUGACAGAGAUCUGCCUGCCUCUGCCUCCUGAGCGCUGGGACUAAAGGUGUGUGCCACCAUAUCCAGCUCCUACUGUUCUAAUUAACCCCCAGGGCUUGAGCUGGUUGCUGCCUGGACUCUGCAGUUCCCUAGGACAACGUGGCACCUCCGUGCUUUACCCUUUUAUUGGUUCAAAGCGGGCUUUUACAUUGUUUACAACUGAACGUGCCCUGAUCUCAUAGCCAAAUGUGGAAGCCCAUGCCAGACAAGUAUCAGGUCCCAGCUAUGCCAGCCAGAGGCCAUUUGCAGGACACAGAUAGCACCGGGUCUCACUGAGCGACCCCUGUGUGCCUAUUCUUCAUCCAUCAUGAUGUGUCCCCUCAUUUACUUUCCAUAUCCCACGUGGACUGUAUAAAGAGAGGGUCACUUGUAAGACAGAAACCACAUUAAAAACCCAGAGAGGGGUGGGUAAGAUGGCUGUGUGGCUAGAGGUACUGCCAGCAAGUCUGCUGAUGUGAUCAAGUCUGAGUUUGAUCCCCAGGACCUGACUGGUGGAAGGAGGAGCCACUGCUCUCAAGUUGUCCCCUAUCCUCCACAGGCAUGCUAUGUGCAGGUAUGAACCACACACGCACACACAUACUACACAGGCACAUGUUCGUGCAUGCACGCACAUACAGACAAUGUGAUUGUGUGUGGCAGGGCAUAGACAAUGGUGGGCAGGUGAGGGCCGGGAAUGAUCAGUGUAUGUAUCACGUGUGUGUGAAGUUGUCUAAAAACAAAUUUAAUAAAGUAAAACAUAUAGAUGAGGUAUUUUCAUUUAAAAGGCUUCCUUGUGCUUUUUAAUAAUUUCUCAUUUUAUAGAAUUUCUCUCAGCCUCUAUUCAUGUGCAUAAAUAUACUUUAAUUUACUAAACGGCUUUCCUGUCAAUAGACAUUAAAAUUUUUAAUUUUAAUUAUUAAAUUAAUAAUUUAUUAAAUUAUUAAAUGUUUCAGUAACCAUGAGCCACAUUUCCAAGGCUUAAAAUUUUAAAAAGAAAGAUGAACAAUCUGUUAAAAAUUUAAGUUGGGCAUGGUGGUACAGGUUUGUAAUCCCAGCACUUGGGGGGGUUAAAGGCAGGGAGAUCUCUAUGAGUUCAUGUUCAGCAUGGUCUACAUAGGGGGUUCCAAGACACCAGCCAAAAUUACAUGGUGAGACCCUGUCUCAAGAAAGAAAAAAAA